rnacentral:rRNA from 1 species
CAGUAGCCGCGGGAAUACGUAGGUGGCAAGCGUUGUCCGGAAUUAUUGGGCGUAAAGGGCUCGCAGGCGGUUUCUUAAGUCUGAUGUGAAAGCCCCCGGCUCAACCGGGGAGGGUCAUUGGAAACUGGGAAACUUGAGUGCAGAAGAGGAGAGUGGAAUUCCAUGUGUAGCGGUGAAAUGCGUAGAGAUGUGGAGGAACACCAGUGGCGAAGGCGACUCUCUGGUCUGUAACUGACGCUGAGGAGCGAAAGCAUGGGUAGCAAACAGGAUUAGAUACCCCCGUAGUCCCUGUCUCUUAUAC